rnacentral:rRNA from 1 species
UACGGAGGGUGCAAGCGUUAUCCGGAUUCACUGGGUUUAAAGGGUGCGUAGGUGGGCUGGUAAGUCAGUGGUGAAAUCUCCAGGCUUAACUUGGAAACUGCCAUUGAUACUAUCAGUCUUGAAUACCGUGGAGGUCAGCGGAAUAUGUCAUGUAGCGGUGAAAUGCUUAGAUAUGACAUAGAACACCAAUUGCGAAGGCAGCUGGCUACACGAAUAUUGACACUGAUGCACGAAAGCGUGGGGAUCAAACAGGA